GAUGAACGCUGGCGGCGUGCCUAAUACAUGCAAGUCGAGCGGACAGACGAGGAGCUUGCUCCUCUGACGUUAGCGGCGGACGGGUGAGUAACACGUGGAUAACCUACCUAUAAGACUGGGAUAACUUCGGGAAACCGGAGCUAAUACCGGAUAAUAUAUUGAACCGCAUGGUUCAAUAGUGAAAGACGGUUUUGCUGUCACUUAUAGAUGGAUCCGCGCCGCAUUAGCUAGUUGGUAAGGUAACGGCUUACCAAGGCGACGAUGCGUAGCCGACCUGAGAGGGUGAUCGGCCACACUGGAACUGAGACACGGUCCAGACUCCUACGGGAGGCAGCAGUAGGGAAUCUUCCGCAAUGGGCGAAAGCCUGACGGAGCAACGCCGCGUGAGUGAUGAAGGUCUUCGGAUCGUAAAACUCUGUUAUCAGGGAAGAACAAAUGUGUAAGUAACUAUGCACGUCUUGACGGUACCUAAUCAGAAAGCCACGGCUAACUACGUG
rnacentral:rRNA from 1 species